UACGUAGGGGGCAAGCGUUGUCCGGAUUUAUUGGGCGUAAAGAGCGUGUAGGCGGCUUGGUAGGUCCGCUGUGAAAACUCGAGGCUCAACCUCGAGAUGUCGGCGGAAACCACUUGGCUAGAGUCCGGAAGAGGAGAGUGGAAUUCCUGGUGUAGCGGUGAAAUGCGCAGAUAUCAGGAAGAACACCGAUGGCGAAGGCAGUUCUCUGGGACGGUACUGACGCUGAGACGCGAAAGCGUGGGGAGCGAACAGG
rnacentral:rRNA from 1 species